AAGGAAUAUUGGUCAAUGGACGCAAGUCUGAACCAGCCAUGCCGCGUGGAGGAUUAAGGCCCUCUGGGUUGUAAACUCCUUUUAUCUGGGAAGAAAUGUACUUUUUCUUGAGUACUUGACGGUACCAGAGGAAUAAGCACCGGCUAACUCCGUGCCAGCAGCCGCGGUAAUACGGAGGGUGCAAGCGUUAUCCGGAUUCACUGGGUGUAAAGGGUGCGUAGGUGGGCAGGUAAGUCAGUGGUGAAAUCUCCGGGCUUAACCCGGAAACUGCCGUUGUUACUAUUUGUCUUGAAUAUUGUGGAGGUAAGCGGAAUAUGUCAUGUAGCGGUGAAAUGCUUAGAUAUGACAUAGAACACCAAUUGCGAAGGCAGCUUACUACACAAUCAUUGACGCUGAGGCACGAAAGCGUGGGGAUCAAACA
rnacentral:rRNA from 1 species